GAUUCCUGGCUUGGGGGUCAUAACCACACACCGUCCCUCCCAGAUGGCUCAAGCACAGCUAACACUGAUGCUGUCCCCAGGAACCUACCCUGGGAAGUAGAGCAGCCCCAGGCAAGCAGAGAGCGGACCUGUGGGAGGGCCACUGUGGGCACAGAGCGGGGGCACCAGCUGAAGUCAGGCCACUGUCAGGGAGGAAGGUGGCACCCCCUCAUCAUGUUGGGGGACCCCACUGCAACCUUGGUCUUCAGCAACCAGAUCUGCAGAUUCCUGCUACCCCCUUCCUGCAGGUCCCUUGCCCCUGUUUUGUUUUCCUGGUUCUUUCCUGCUGUCACCAUCCAGGGGCUAAAGUGGGGGAAGAUGCCCCUUAGAAGUCUCUACCCCCAUCCUCUGUGUCACUCUGUGUUCUCCUCCUCCUCCUCCUCUCAGCAUCUCCCACCCCUUGGGGUUCCUUCUGGUCUGCAGGUUGGCUGCAUAUUCACAAACCCGGGAGUCAGGGCCAUUGUAGGGUGUCAGCGCCAGAAGGGGCCCGAGUCCCGACCCUCACGUGCGGCCAAGUGAGGGCUCCUUGGUGUGUGUUGGUCCUGCCCUGCACUCGCGACCAUGUGCUGAGCCCUACUGUGUACCAGGCCACAGAGGAGGGGCCUCAGGGAGCCCUCUGCUGGAAGGCUGGGCUAGGGGAGCCCCGGGCUGCAGAAAGGGACCUUGAACUAAGGUGUGUAGAUAAGGAGGAACCGGCCAGGUGUGGUGUGUGUGUGUUGUGGGGGGCGGCCCUGAACUUGCUGACAAAGAGGGAAUUUGGCCAUGGGGCCGCCUUUGCCAAGCUCUUCCUCAUGGCUUGGCGAGAGGCUCUCCGGUAGAAAUAGCGCAGUUGUGGGGUUAGACCGAGGGGCGUUGAGUCUUGGCUCUGACACUUUCUAGCCCCGUAACCUGAAGAAGCUCACAGACCCCUCUGAGCCUCGUUUCAUCACCUGUAAAAGCGGGGUGCUGGCCUCUGUCUCCUGGGAGCCUCGUGCACAUGAUUGCCUCACUUGUCCCAUCUGUUAAGGUGGGGUCAUAAGACUUUACUCCUCCCGUGGUCUAAGCAGCUAAUUCGGACACAUGGGCACAAAAGUCCCAAACUACGUACAAAUAUUCCUCACAUCAGAGUUCAUUUGGCUCCCGAAUCUGGAUGGCAAGAAUCAGACGCGAGGGUUUGGUUCCUGAGGCCAUCAGUGAAAUAUGUAUGGUUCCUGAGUUUUGGAUAGUGAAGGAUAUAAAAAAGAGUUUCUCAGAGUCUAGUUAGUUCCUAAAUCAGACCUCGAGGCAUAUCUGUUUGCCUAUUUACAAGUUACAUACAAGUACUACAAUAUUAAAUACACUUGUCAGGUAGAAGUUUCAAAAUAAUGAAGGUAAGAAUAAACGUGGAAAGAAAUGCUGACAUUUUCUUUUUGCACCUCCCUGGGUCCUUGUGUGCUUCCCCUGGGGAUGCCCCACCCCUCUCAGAACAUUCCUGGUCUGGGGUUGGAGGUGCUGAGGGGUUACCCCAGAGGGCAGGAGGGCCCUGGGGGAACCUAGUCAGAGCAACACCAUUUGUCACCAUGCCUCUGUCCCACUCACCCCCAGCGCUGGGCCUGGGACAUGAAGAAGGACACGUGGCAUCUGUCUGAAGGAAGUUGGUGACGUCUAUGCAGCCGGUCCGCAGAAAACAAAACUUUCUUAAAAUCUAAAAAGAAUUUCCUCAAAAAAGUAUGUCUGAUGCCUUUUCCCCCCAGCGAUAAAAUCGACACAACAUGACAUUUACUGUUUUAAUCAAGUUCAGGGGCAUCAAGCACAUUCUCGGCAUUGUGCAACCAGACCGCCGUCCAACUCCAGAACUUUCUCAUCUUCCCAAACUGACACUCUGUGCCCCUUGAACACUGACUCCCUGUUCUGCCCCCCGCUGCAGCCCCUGGCAACUACUGUCCUCUUUUGUCUCUCUGAGUUUAACUGCUCUAGAUACCUCAUCUGAGUGGAAUCAUACAGUAUUUGUCUUUUUGUGUCUGGCUCCUUUCGCUGAGCGUAGGUCUCCAAGGUUCGUCCGUGGUGUGGCAGGUGUCAGAAUUCCUUUCCAUUUUAUGGCUGAGUGAUACCCCACUGUCUGUAUACACAUUUGGUUUAUGCAUUCACCUGUCGAUGGGCGCUUGGGUCCUUUGUACCUGGUAGCUAUUGGGAGUGAUGCCACUAUGAACACAGGUGUACAAAUACCUCUUCCAGUCCCUGCUUUCCCUUCCUGGUGCCUUUUAUAGAGAGAAGUUUUUAACAAGUUCUCCCAUGGCUUGGGGUCUAGUGAUCACGGUUUUGUAAACUACAGCGGGUCGCGAGGACUGUCAGAGCCGUAUAUGAGAGCACGAGACGCCAUGGGGCUGCAGGAAGGGAAGGGGAGGGACACGUGGGGGGAUGACUUGGUGGCUGUCUCAGAAUUCCCCGGACUCAGCGUGGAAGGCAAAGCACGGAGGGUGGAGGGAAGGUGGUGCAACUGAGCAGGUGAUUUGGUCUGGCUGAGGAGGGGGCAUGGAGGAGCCAAGCAGCAGGAGAGAAGCAGGGAGAGCGGGAGAGAAGCAGGGAGAGCGGGAGAGAAGCAGGGAGAGCGGGGCAGGGACCAGCCCCUGGAGGGCGUGGCUGACCCAGAUGAUGAAUCUGGGUUUCUCCUGGAGGGAAGAGGAGGCCAUGAAGAUCCUCCGAUAAGUGUGGGAGGAGCACUAGGCAGGACUUCUCCCCGGGGUCUGACUCCACUGCCACCUUGGACGUGGGGAGGACAGGUCGAGCUGAGGCCUCCACCUCACAGCGCGUUUGUCUCUUCUUGGUGUCUCCUGGUCCCUUGGAGGUCCCUGGUCUCUUUUCCGGUCCUUCCAGCCACUUGUGAGCACAUUCUCCAGGGUGCUUGACCUCUUCAUGCAUCACACAUUUUGAGGUUUAGCUCAAUUCCCUUUCCCCCCCAAAAAAAACCCAUUCCAUAAGCGAUCCCUUCACUGCAGACACACGUGCACACACACUCAUUCACACACUCAUGUGUUCACACCCACGCACACAUGCAUUCAUGCACUCACACAUGUACUUGCACACACGCACAACACACCCAUUCUCAUGCACGCACACACUCACUCACAGCAUACACCCCCACACACGUGCACUCACACACACGCACAACUCGCCCCCUCCUGCUUGCACACACGCACAACGCCCACACUCAUACACAUACCUAUGCAUGCAGUCACAGCACACACACUCACACGGUCUCCCUUCAACCCUGUUCUCCCAUCUGUCUCAUUUCCAGACUUCUCUGGGGGACCAGAACUAACAUUUACUGAGAAUCUCCAGGGUGUCAGACAGUGGGUGUUGGCUCUUUCCACUUCUCCUCGUGACAGUCUUCCAGGAUGGGUAUCAUCACCCCAUUAUACAGAUGCACAAACUGAGCCUACGGAGCUGAUGGUCUCACAGGAGCUGGUGGGGCCCAGGGCCCUAACUCCUUUUGGCACUUUUCAUGGUAGCUCAGUGGUUUUUCUGUGUCAUAAACUCACUGCGUCCAGUUGGCAAUACCCCCCAGGGUCAGGACCCACGUCUGCUCCUUCUCCUUAUCUCCUACAUGGGCUGGAAUUCUGAAGAUGCUCAAGGAAUUCUUUUAAGCCAGUGACUCCGAAUUCUGAUGUCGAGGGGUGGUCUCAGAAGCCCCUGUUGUGUCCUCGUGCUGUUCCGCUGCCUGGAACGUUCCCCCUCCCUCUCAGGGCCCAGCCUGGGGGCUCUUCUUGGGAGCCACCCCCCAGUACCCUCUCCUCCGUGUUUACGUCACUCUGUUUGGAACUCAGCUCUCUGUGGGACUGUCAUGAUACUUGUUAUUUACUCUUCUGUCUUCCCUGUGGGACUAGGAGCUCCGUGGGGACAGGGCUGUCUCGGAUUCACCUUUGGGGGCCCAGAGAUGCUCCUGAGGCCGACACCGCGCUGGCUCCUGGAGAAUGCGCCCAGAAUGGAAGCACCAUGCACAUGUGUUUGGUUCAGUCCCCUGCCUAAGGGACCUCUCCCGCUGCUCCUGGGAGAAGGCUUUUGUGGAGGACUCCCUUCGGGUGCCUCUGCCUGCAUCCUCCCGUCGCCCCCCAGGCACAUCGGCCUUCAGAGAGCCGUGGAACAGACCCCGCGUGCCGUGCACUCACCUGUAACCACCGAGCUGGGUCUGGGGCCUUCGGGCCACAGCAGGAAGAGGAAACCGAGGCACAGAGAGGUGAAGUGAUUUGCCUGAGGCCCCGAGGCUGGUGAGUGGGAGACGGAAGUGCCCUGGACGCCAGAGCCCAGUGACCCCUGAGCUGGUUGAUGGCCUGCCAGUGGGCUGCCACCGGGGGAGGGGGACACAGUCCGAACGGAUGGACCAGAUGGUGGGGGGCAGGCGGGGGACGGGAAGGGAGGCAUCAAGGAUGCCCCUCGGUUUCUGGCCUGGGUGACCCGGCAGAAGGUCAUUUCAUUUCCUGAGCAAGGGACACCGCAGGACGGGCAGGCUUGGGGUGGACACGCUGAGUCUGGGAGGAGAUGCCCGGGAAGUCUGGCGUCUAGGAGAAAGGUCUGGGCUGCGGAUGUGGCCGAGGGUGAAACAAGAUCCUGGGGCAAGUGGGAGGCUUGUGGGGGGUGGAGGAACCCCACCUCUGGAGCUGGUGCAACAGACGUUAUAUAGCAUUUGUUCUGUGCCAGACAUUAUCCUGAGCCCUUGUGUUACCUUAUUAAAAUCCUCCCAACAAACCCUCUGAGGGGCCCCGUUACCAUCCUCACUUCCAUCCCAAUGGACAGUGAGAGGUCCCAACUGCCCCGGUUGGCCAGGGCUCUGACUGACCCAGGGCCCAGGCCCAGGCUGGGGAUGCGGGGAGAGGCUCUGAGGGCUGCCUGUGUGUGAGCCGAGGUGGGGGCAUCUGCAGAAGAGAGAAGGAGGACGCAGGCCUGCCUCAUUGGCCCCUUCGGUACGUGGUCCGGCCAGCUCCCCUCCCCAUGCCUCUGCCACCCCCACGGGCCCCAGGCCUUGCCUCUGUGACGGGGGAGGCCAGCAGGGAGAUGGGGCCAGCUCUGCUCUUGGGACCUCUUUGGGGCCUGACGGUGGGUGAAGGGCACACAGUUUGCUCAAAAGGGUGCAGAGCUGGAGGGCUGGAUGGGGUGCGCAGUAGGGGAGCAGAAAGGUUCCAGGGAUGAGGGCCGGGGGGCCGGCACACAGAGGACGGUAAUUCUCGGGCUGAUGGGCGUUAGGGGCAGGGCCUGGGGCGUCCUGGCACAAACGGCCUGGUUCCCAGCUGUGAGCCCAGGGCCUGGAGCGCAGCUGCCCCACAGUGAGCCUGGUGGUGGGGCGGGGGUGCUGCCGUCGCUGCUGGCCAGAGUCCGGGCUAAAGGCCCUGGGGGCUCCCAGCCCGCUGGGGGGCAGACAUUUUGCCUGAUGACAAGACCCUGGGCAAAGGGUUCCCGGAAGGUGUGCAGCUACAGGGAGCGGUGACCCCGGGCUGGGCUUCAGUUUCUGGGGACAGGUAGCAAGCGGGAUGCCGGCAGGAGCAGAGGCGUGGUGAGGGAAAUGGCGGUGCUUUGGGAAAUAGUUGGUGACCUGGUGUAGCCAGCGUAGGGGGCCCAGGAGACGAGGGGGCUGGACAGGGGGACAAGGGGCUCUCUUCUGUAGGCAGUGGGAGCCAGGGAAGAUGCGAGGGCUGGAAGAGAGGCUAUGGAGGUCUGGAGAGCGUCAGAGGGGAUGAGCAUGGCUCUGCCUGAAGAGGCAUAGAGGGGCUGGACAGACAGCAUGGGGGGGCGAACAGGACUGGGGACACUAGUGGGUAUGGCCUGGGAGGUCAGGUGGGGGACCAGGUAGGGUGAGGUCAGUCAGGUGGUGGGCAGGUGGAGUUGGAGGUCCUGAGGGACCCCCAGGUGGAGACAGUUGGUUUCAUGGGUCUGGAGACUGGGAUCCGGGAGUGCAGAGGAGGUGGUUCAGUGAUGCUCCCUCAGGGAGAGUGGGCACCUGGGCAGAGGAGAGGUGCCCAGCUGGGAGCAGGAGAGGGGGUCAGAGAAGGAGACGCAUUGUCACAGAGGGCAGGGGGCCAGCAAAGUAGCUCAGAGAGAUAGGGAGAGAGCUUGGGGCGGGGGUCCCAAAGCAGGCUCAGGGGCCGGGGGAGAAUGGCGGGACAUUCCGCCAGGAAGUAUAGACAGCAGGUGGAGACAGGUCUUCCGGGAAGCUCGGCUGGGAAGACCAGGGGAGAUAUAGGGCAAUGGCUGAAGGGGACUCGAGGAUCGUAGGUUGUUCAUAGAAGAGAUGCUGAUGGGGCAUCGCAGAGGUGGGCUACGUGGGGGAGGGGCUCCUCGAGUGGGGGUGGGGUGGUCCUGAGCUGGAUGGGGGGCCCUCCAGCUGGAGGGAGGGAAGGGAAUGGGAUGGGAGCUGCAGAGUCAUUUGUAGGCCGAAGGAGGGGAGGUCAAGGGACUCCUGCCCAGGGGCCUCUCCUCUGUGAUGGAGGACCAGAAUGGAGAGGCAAGGGGCUGCAGGGGGUCCUGAGGUUUGGUGUCUCCACAGAAGGCCCUGGAAGAAGGACGCCUUGGGGAUCAGAGAGGGUGGUUGGAGCUAGGGGAGGACCCAGCACAGGCAGUGGCUGGGCUGAGGGGGCCCGGGUCUAAAAUGGCAGUGUCCUUUCUCUUCUGGCUGUUCUGAGCACAGACCAUGUGCUCAUGCCUGAGGAGCCAUGGCCUGUCGUCCAGAAGCUUAUUUGCAGCUUCCUGGAGGUGUUCCUCUCCUGGUCCGGGGCAGCCUGUCAUCCCCUUGCCCAGUGCAGGAGGCAAAGCGGCUCCCAGACGCUUCCCACGGCCUCCAGGCACCUCCCUCCUGCCCCACUGGCUGCCAGUCCCCAGCUCGGCACACAGUAGGGCCUGGACACCGAUGGCCUGCGUGCUUAUAUGCUCUUCCACAUUUCCAAGCACCCCCCCUCCCCCCGGAACUCCUUGUGCUCCCUCCCGGGAGGGGCUGAGUGGACCAGACUCUGAGGGCAAGCCUUGCUAUGGCCCCCCACCCAUCAGCACGUCUCCCGAGGGAGUCCUGAACCCAGAGCCCCCGUCCUCCCCCUUCUGACAGUUUCCACAGCUGGUGCUCUGAUUUCGGAGCCCAGAGCAGAAGAAGAGGAAAGUCAGCAGAAAUUAGCACGGACGGAGGGACAGUGCAGGCAGAGGAAAACAGCUCCUUACCCUUAAAAAUUUGCUAAGAGGGUCAAUCUUAUGUUAAUUCUUAUCGCAAAAUAAAAUAAAAAACAGGGUUGCUAAGUUGGCCUCAUUGCUAACAGCAUCUGCCACCUACUUUCAAGGGAGGACACAGAGCCACAGGGGAAGCACGGGACACAGGCCCUGCCUGGCGGCUGUGCGCCCCAAGACCCGGGGAUGCCGUCCGUCACUGCUGUCACGACCAGGUACAAGGGGAGGCCGAUUUCCAUGGCGCUUUGUUAAAACAAAUUCAGUAUAAAUAGUUCUGCCCAAAGAUGUAGAGUAUGACCCACUGGCUACCCCCUUAAUGCUCAGUGGUCGGGGACCGUCACAGGCCUGUGACAGAGUAUGACACAGCCGUUAAAAAUGAUGUUUAUGGGGGCGCCUGAGGGGCUCAGUCACUUGAGCGUCUGGCUCAGGUCAUGAUCUCAGGGUUGUGGGAUUGAGCCCCGCAUCGGGCUUCGCACUCAGCAGGGAGUCUCCAGGAGAUUCUCCCUCGCCCUCUGCCCCAGCUCGCGCGUGCACACUCGCUAAAUAAAUAAAUAAAUAAUAAAAUCUUUUAAAAAAUGAUGUUUAUGAGGAAUUUUAAGGACAUAGGAAAUGUUUUUGGUAUAAUUUAAGUGAAAAGCAAGACGUGAAAUGCUACGGGCAUAUGUGUAAUUCAAUAAAAAGCCAAGAGAAAAAAAACUACACGCUGUGAGCUCAACUUCAUUUAACAAUUACAGGAACAAACCUGAAAGAAAACUAGAAAAUGCUAACCUUGUUAUUUCUGGGUGGUGGAACCGCGAGUGACUGGAACGUUUUCAGGCUUUGUCUUUUAUCGUAUUUCCAAAUUUCUACAAUAAACGCUUUCCAAUGUUGAAGUUACUGGAGAUGAAGGUGUGGUGUGUAGCCUCUUUAAGGAGUCCCACGUCUCUGGAAAAUCUUCUUGCAUGAACAUAUAAGAUCUUGGGGUGUGUUUAUAUAUUUUUCAGCUGGAGGUAGAGCUUGAAUCAGGAAGGCAUCUUGACUACAAAUAAUGGAAAACGCAAUACCAUUGAGGGGGUUGCUUGCUUCCCCCCACCUCCGGUCACAGGAAGUCCCCGUUAGGCCAUCCAGAGCUGGUGUGGUUCCGUGAUGCUCUCGCGGACGAUCAAAAAGCAGACCUGUUAUUCACCC